GACGAACGCUGGCGGCGUGCUUAACACAUGCAAGUCGAACGGAAAGGCCCUGCUUUUGUGGGGUGCUCGAGUGGCGAACGGGUGAGUAACACGUGAGUAACCUGCCCUUGACUUUGGGAUAACUUCAGGAAACUUGGGCUAAUACCUGAUAGGAUCUCCUGCUGCAUGGUGGGGGUUGGAAAGUUUCGGCGGUUGGGGAUGGACUCGCGGCUUAUCAGCUUGUUGGUGGGGUAGUGGCUUACCAAGGCUUUGACGGGUAGCCGGCCUGAGAGGGUGACCGGCCACAUUGGGACUGAGAUACGGCCCAGACUCCUACGGGAGGCAGCAGUGGGGAAUAGUGCACAAUGGGCGGAAGCCUGAUGCAGCAACGCCGCGUGCGGGAUGACGGCCUUCGGGUUGUAAACCGCUUUCGCCUGUGACGAAGCGUGAGUGACGGUAAUGGGUAAAGAAGCACCGGCUAACUACGUG
rnacentral:rRNA from 1 species